rnacentral:tRNA from 1 species
UCCCUGGUGGCUCAGUGGUAAAGAAUCUGCCUGCCAGUGCAGGAGACACAGGUUUGAUCCCUGGUUAGGGAA